GCCAUGUUACGUUGAAAUACCGGUUCUCGUACGAUUAUCGAAGUUAAGCAACGUCCAGCCUGGUCAGUACCUAGAUAGGUGACCACUUGGAAAUACCAGGUACUGUAAG